UGGGGAAUAUUGCACAAUGGGCGAAAGCCUGAUGCAGCGACGCCGCGUGGAGGAUGAAGGCCUUCGGGUUGUAAACUCCUUUUGCAGGGGAAGAUAAUGACGGUACCCUGCGAAUAAGCCACGGCUAACUCUGUGCCAGCAGCCGCGGUAAGACAGAGGUGGCGAGCGUUGUUCGGAAUUACAGGGCUUAAAGGGCGCGUAGGCGGUGAUAUAAGUCUGGGGUGGAAUCCUGCAGCUUAACUGUGGGACUGCCCUGGAAACUGUGUUGCUUGAGUCGGACAGGGGAAGACGGAAUUCCUGGUGUAGCGGUGAAAUGCGUAGAUAUCAGGAGGAAGGCCUGUGGUGAAGACGGUCUUCUGGGUCUUGACUGACGCUGAGGCGCGAAAGCGUGGGGAGCAAACAG
rnacentral:rRNA from 1 species